CCGGAGUCCCCCCGCAGUUACUGGCUGUAACUCAGGACAGACUGGGCCUCUUUCGGAUUUGUGGCACUUUUGGUGAAAUAUGACUCUGGUAAGCUCUGCUGCUCAAGGCGCCUGAGGGCAGAGGGGCUGACAUACCCCUCUGUGUGGCGAUGACUGUGAUAUUAUGCCACUGCUCCUGCUCACGGUCCAACUCCAUCACUGUGCUGAUAAAGCCUGUGUCAGAGGCGAUGCGGAACAGAGCCUCGGGGUCUGACUGGGGAUCGAUGGAGUACCUGAGAUACAGAAACAGGCACGAGCCAGAACAGGAAGGAAAAAAGAACGUGAAGAGAGCCCUGAGUGAGCAAGCGAGAGGCUAAAUGAAUCCGGAUCAGUGGCAGUUAGACGGCCCACCUCCACACCUGG